AAAAGAGAAGGGAAGAGAGAUUGAGUACUUCUACCAAGAAAAUGCGAAAAUGUCUAUGGAAUAGAAAAUGAGUCUAUCAAUCAUUCAUUCCUUUAAAUUGUUUAAAGACAAGAAUAUAAUUACACUGAUCUGCUGGUUUCCAUCACAGCAAUUGAAGUAUCUUCCUCCCUGUUAUCACCAUCCUCAUAAUCCAUCAAUGGAAAUCUCAGUAAUUUCUGUGUAGAAUCAGUGGAUUUUGGCAUUUGUUCAGCCGAUGGUGAGAGUGACACAAGGAUCUGAUCAAUUGCUUCUUCCACUGAUUGGCUGAUUCUUGAGUGCCCUGUGCUGCUGAAGGAUCCUCAGUAGUUCACAGAUGAUGUGUGCGCGCUUGCAUCCGAUUGCGCGGUGCUGGUUUAAAGCGCAGAGACGAGUGAUCGAGACUUACCGACUACGCU